AAGUCGUAACAAGGUAACCGUAGGUGAACCUGCGGUUGGAUCAUUAACGAAUUUGAAGACGGAAGUCUUUAAUCAUGGCCUCUCUUUAGUGUCAAAGCUAAUUUGAGGUUUCAACCUUGUGUGAACCUAUAACGUCUCUGGUAUGAUGCUCUUUUUCUACCUUUGGGUAGUCAAAGACGCAUGCCAGUAAACUUUUAAACCUAGUUUUUUAAUCGGUCUAUUAACCAUAAUAAAAAAUGGAAACAACUUUUGACAACGGAUCUCUUGGCUCUC
rnacentral:misc_RNA from 1 species